rnacentral:rRNA from 1 species
UAGGGAAUCUUCGGCAAUGGACGAAAGUCUGACCGAGCAACGCCGCGUGAGUGAAGAAGGUUUCCGGAUCGUAAAACUCUGUUGGUAGAGAAGAACGUUGGUGAGAGUGGAAAGCUCAUCAAGUGACGGUAACUACCCAGAAAGGGACGGCUAACUACGUGCCAC